CAGCAAUCUGGGUCCUCAUUUUAACGACCUCGGAAGGAUGGAAGGCUGAGUUGGGACUAGCAAGCGGUGGGCCCAUCAAGAGUUUCAGCUCGGUGCCGUGCAGAUCGGGAAAGGGGGGGAAAACGAAUAACGGAGAGAUCAGCACCCUUUCCUGCUACUGGAUGGAAAAACCCCUCGGCCAAAUGGUGAUUCCUUCCAUUUCAGUCAUUCGUGCUCUGAUUACUUCAUGACUUGACUCUAUCUCUAUCUUGAAGACCACCUGGAAGUUUCAACUGGACCACAGUGCAGAGGUGCAAGCAGUGAUGGGCAUGCCUUGGUGCACCCAUGUAACAUUUACAAGUUUUGAAUCUCCCAAGACUGCCUAUUGUCUUCAGCGAACAGAUACCGUUCUAUGAAACUUUGUGGGAGGAGUUGUUCAGUCCUGGAUCCCUUGUGGCUGCACAAUAUUUCAUGGCUAAUCCCCCAUUUGAAUCCUUCUCCCUGCCUGACUGGUAUUUCUCAACAACUCCCAACAUAACAAUUUAUGUGCAUCAAUAAAGCAAUAAAACCAAAGCUAGUUAAAACUUUGACAAUCAUAAUAUCGUUCUCCUAGCAAUGUUAAAUAUGCUAAAGCCCACCCAGGAGAGUGUUUUCCAAAUCUUCAGUGGUAGGUUGAUCCAUAGGGAUGGAGCCAGUGGUGAAAUCCAAUUUUUUUACUACCGGUUCUGUGGGCAUGGCUUUCUGGGCGCGGUGUGGCUUGGUGGGCGUGGCUUGGGCAUGGCAGGGGAAGGAUACUGCAAAAUCUCCAUUCCCACCCCACUCUGGGGCCAGAUUUGCCGUUUCUUCGAACAAUUAAAAAUUUUCACAAACAGUUCUCCGAACUGCUCAAAAUUUCCUCUACCGGUUCUCCAGAAUCUGCUGGAUUUCACCCCUGGAUGGAGCUUAUAUUGAAAAACAUUGUUUCCUAGCCCUCUUUCCCCAAAUUUAAAAGGAGGGAGAUACUUAAUAAUCCUAGAUAGGACACAUACAUUGAACAAGUAGAUAGUUCUGGAAAUACGUAGAUGCCAAAUCAUGUAGAGCUUGAUAAGUAAUGACCAGCACUAUGAACCAUACUGAGAAGUCUACAGAUAACCAAUGCAGUGCCCAUACACCAGUAGUAUGUGGUUCUAGCAGUAGUCAUCCACUGGCAGGAAGCUGAUGCAUUUUAUACAAACUGCAGUUUCCAGGUAGUUUUCAAAGAUGCCUGCAAGUUGGGUGUAUUGUGGUAGCCCAUCUUAGAGGGGAGAGAAUGAGUCACUGUCACCCAAUAUAAAUCUAACAAAUAAAUAAAAAUUACAGUGGGCAGGACAGGACAGAAACUCUUCCAUUAGAUUCUACUUUUUAGAGACCUUCCUUUGUAUAGAUAGAUCUGGGGUCCUCUGGUCAUGAAGUUCUGCUCCUAAGGAAAGAGAAUGUACAUGAGCCACAAUCACUAUGGAAUCCAAAGCUGAAGCCAACACCUGGUUACUGUUUGCAAUGACAUGCUUUUGUACACAAAGCGCACAUGCCAGGUUUGCAUAAAACCACAGGCAAGGUGCAGCAACUACUGCAAGUGAAUGGCUCUGCGGCUAGUUUUCUAACAGCCACGUACUGGGCUGUUACUCCUCCCUAACCUCUCCUUUCCUCCACUUCCCUCAUCGUGGCCUUAGCUUUCGGAUGCUGCUCUCUUGAAGCCAGAAAGUUCAAAGCAGCUCUGACUCAUCAUGUGUUAUGAAUCAGCAGUUUGAAGGCUUGCUUUGAC